rnacentral:ncRNA from 2 species
CGAUGGGAUAGAGGCUGCAGUUUAUAAGAGUAAAACGGACGAGAUUCAAUGAAAUUCACGACUCCGUUUGAAAGGAUAAGUUGCCGAAGUUUGGAUAAAUCAUUGAAUAUCCGGACUGGCGAUGUUUUCGAAUAGGAACAUCACUGUCACGUUUAUUAACGUGGAGAGCUAUCUUCGGA